CACAACUCAUCAGGAAGCAGCACAGACAAGGAAGGACAGAGUGUUGGAAUUUGGCAUGGUUUGUGCAGCAGGAGAAGGACUCUAGUUACACACAGCUCUGCCCAGACCCUCGUGUGGGUGUCAUAUGGACAUGGAUGCAUCAGGCCAUUUGGACAUGGUGCCUCAGACAUAAGAAAUCACCUCACUGCCCUCUCUUGCUGUGAAACUCUGCUUACAGGCAAGAAGCUGAUUCCAGUUGGGGGGCUUGCCUACAAAGAAACGAUGGCUGGACAUGAGUUUCCAGUCCCCAGGAGAGGUCAAUUCCACUUGCUAAGUAACCUGCUCAGGGUCACACUGCUGGGAAGUGGAAGAGCUGGGAUGCAAGCUGAGGUUCUCCUGACUUCUGGCUAUGCUGCUUGGGUAGCCAGCAAACCUCCCCAGGAUUCUUCUCUGCUGACCACUCUUAGCACUGAACACACAGUCCAUGUCAGGUCAAAGAAGUGGAAUUCAAAAGCAAAGCCAGAAGGCGUCCAUCCUCCGGAAAGUCAAACAAGGAAGGUAACACUAAGGGAAGAGGCUCCCACUCAGACCAUUGUGAGGAGAAGAUCCGACCAGUGAUUACACCGGCUCCAGCUUCAUUCUCCAAGAGGAGAGAGCCCCGCCCUUGAAAAAGCCCAAAGAAACAGAAAAGACCAAGAAAGGGUUUCUGCACUUGAGAAGUUCAAAAGCCUGUAUUUCAUUUUACUCACAUAACCACAGAAGUCUCCCCCAUCACACCCAACGGCUGCAGCUCGGCCUCUGCCAAGCCACAACCAAAGGAAAAGCCAGAAGGAAAACACUUUCUGACACAGGAGA
rnacentral:lncRNA from 1 species